rnacentral:rRNA from 1 species
UACGGAGGGUGCGAGCGUUGUUCGGAAUCAUUGGGCGUAAAGGGCGUGUAGGUGGUCUGUUAAGUCAUGUGUGAAAGCCCUCAGCUCAACUGGGGAAGUGCGCAUGAAACUGACAGGCUAGAGUACCGAAGAGGAAGGUGGAAUUCCCGGUGUAGCGGUGAAAUGCGUAGAUAUCAGGAGGAACACCGAUGGCGAAGGCAGGUCUCUGGGCAUUAACUGACGCUGAGGAGCGAAAGCAUGGGGAGCGAACAGG